ACCAGUGCCAUAGUGGAUACUGUGUCUGACUAUGGAUCAGGAGGUUUUAGGUUCGCAUCCCAGUUCUUGGGG
rnacentral:tRNA from 1 species